UGGGGAAUUUUGGACAAUGGGCGCAAGCCUGAUCCAGCCAUGCCGCGUGCGGGAAGAAGGCCUUCGGGUUGUAAACCGCUUUUGUCAGGGAAGAAACGCUCUGGGCUAAUACCCUGGGGUAAUGACGGUACCUGAAGAAUAAGCACCGGCUAACUACGUGCCAGCAGCCGCGGUAAUACGUAGGGUGCAAGCGUUAAUCGGAAUUACUGGGCGUAAAGCGUGCGCAGGCGGUUAUGCAAGACAGAUGUGAAAUCCCCGGGCUCAACCUGGGAACUGCAUUUGUGACUGUAUAGCUAGAGUACGGUAGAGGGGGAUGGAAUUCCGCGUGUAGCAGUGAAAUGCGUAGAUAUGCGGAGGAACACCGAUGGCGAAGGCAAUCCCCUGGACCUGUACUGACGCUCAUGCACGAAAGCGUGGGAGCAAAAGGGAUUAGAUACCCUGUAGUCCCUGAGCGGGCUGGCAAGGCGCAU
rnacentral:rRNA from 1 species